AGGGUUCGAUUCUGGCUCAGGAUUAACGCUGGCGGCGUGCCUAAUACAUGCAAGUCGAAUGGUAGCAAUACCAUGGCGAACGGGUGAGUAACACGUAGGUAAUCUAUCCUUAAGACGAGGAUAACCGAUAGGAAACGUCGGAUAAUACUGGAUAGGAGUAAUUGAGGCAUCUUGAUUACUUUAAAGAUUUAUCACUUGAGGAGGAGCCUGCGGCGCAUUAGCUAGAUGGCGGAGUAAUAGCCCACCAUGGCGAUGAUGCGUAGCCGGACUGAGAGGUUGAACGGCCACAAUGGAACUGAGAACGGUCCAUACUCCUACGGGAGGCAGCAGUAGGGAAUUUUCGGCAAUGGGCGGAAGCCUGAACCCGAGCAACGCCGCGUGAACGAAGAAGUAUUUCGGUAUGUAAAGUUCUUUUAUUAGGGAAGAAAAGAUCAAGAUUGACGGUACCUAAUGAAUAAGCUCCGGCUAACUACGUGCCAGCCGCCGC
rnacentral:rRNA from 1 species